CGAGCGGCGGACGGGUGAGUAAUGUCUGGGAAUCUGCCUGAUGGAGGGGGAUAACUUCUGGAAACGGUAGCUAAUACCGCAUAACUUCUCAAGGCCAAAGAGGGGGACCUUCGGGCCUCUUGCCAUCAGAUGAGCCCAGAUGGGAUUAGCUAGUAGGUGGGGUAAUGGCUCACCUAGGCGACGAUCCCUAGCUGGUCUGAGAGGAUGAUCAGCCACACUGGAACUGAGACACGGUCCAGACUCCUACGGGAGGCAGCAGUGGGGAAUAUUG
rnacentral:rRNA from 1 species